AUUGAACGCUGGCGGCAGGCUUAACACAUGCAAGUCGAGCGAGCGGCGGACGGGUGAGUAAUGUCUGGGAAACUGCCCGAUGGAGGGGGAUAACUACUGGAAACGGUAGCUAAUACCGCAUACUAUCAGAUGAGCCCAGAUGGGAUUAGCUAGUAGGUGGGGUAAUGGCUCACCUAGGCGACGAUCCCUAGCUGGUCUGAGAGGAUGACCAGCCACACUGGAACUGAUACACGGUCCAGACUCCUACGGGAGGCAGCAGUGGGGAAUAUUGCACAAUGGGCGCAAGCCUGAUGCAGCCAUGCCGCGUGUAUGAAGAAGGCCUUAGGGUUGUAAAGUACUUUCAGCGAGGAGGCGUUACUCGCAGAAGAAGCACCGGCUAACUCCGUGCCAGCAGCCGCGGUAAUAC
rnacentral:rRNA from 1 species